UCUCCGUUGGUGAACCAGCGGAGGGAUCAUUACCGAGUUUACAACUCCCAAACCCCUGUGAACAUACCUAUCGUUGCCUCGGCGGUGCCCGCUCCGGCGGCCCGCCAGAGGACCCCCAAACUCUUGUUUUAUACAGUAUCUUCUGAGUAACACGAUUAAAUAAAUCAAAACUUUCAACAUCGGAUCUCUUGGUUCUG
rnacentral:misc_RNA from 1 species